GGAUGCGAUCAUACCAGCACUAAAGCACCGGAUCCCAUCAGAACUCCGAAGUUAAGCGUGCUUGGGCGAGAGUAGUACUAGGAUGGGUGACCUCCUCGUGUUGCAUUCC
rnacentral:rRNA from 1 species